GCGACCCCAGGAUGGGCGAGGCCACCCGCCGAGUUUAAGCAUAUCAAUAAGCGGAGGAGAAGAAAC
rnacentral:rRNA from 31 species